rnacentral:rRNA from 1 species
UACCAGCACCCCGAGUGGUCGGGGCGAUUAUUGGGCCUAAAGCAUCCGUAGCCGGUCUUGCAAGUCUUCCGUUAAAUCCACCUGCUUAACAGAUGGGCUGCGGAAGAUACUACAAGACUAGGAGGCGGGAGAGGCAAGCGGUACUCAGUGGGUAGGGGUAAAAUCCUCUGAUCCAUUGAAGAACACCAGUGGCGAAGGCGGCUUGCCAGAACGCGCUCGACGGUGAGGGAUGAAAGCUGGGGGAGCAAACCGG